GCGGGAGGAGGAAUGUCACCUCAGGAAGGAGAGGGCAUGGCAUGGCGGGAGGCUGGUAUGCAUGCUUGGUAUGGAGAAAGUGAUGGUUUUCCUGUCGAGCGUCAUGGUUGUUAUCCUUGUUGCCAACAGAAGGCUCAUGCUGAGGAAGAAGUGUUGUGGUAUAGCUGUAUGCAGGCGGCAAGCUGGCCGUGCCACAGCCACAUCUUACAACUUGCACUUAACGGAGUUUAUCAGGUAUUUUUUGGAGAGUAUCUGAAGUUUUCCAGCCUUGCUUUGCAUUAGCAGCAAGGAACGUAGUGCAUAUUGUACUUAUGAGGAGCAUAAGAGCCAGGAGGCACAACGCGUAUGUAGCUGCGUUGGGUGCUUUGGGCCAGACGUGAGAAGUUCAGGGUGAUGUGGAUGACCACAGGAUGGCGUAUCGUGGCUUGUAAAGCACAGAACGGUAUUUAAUGAGCAGUUGGUAAUACUGGCUGAAGUGCGUCUGAACUAUGUUCAUCCUGUGACUUCUAUUGCUAGAAAUUUCUAAUGUUUUCUUUCCUUUCACUCACAAUGUUACCUCUUCCUUUCAGAGUAAAUGCUAACUUUCCAGAGUGAGGUUUGGACUUCAUUGUACUAAUAACCUUAAAACUGAUAAAAAGAGGCAGAUGCUCUUUGGUUAUAAGAAUAACACAAUCCCAUGCUAGGGGAGACUUUGAUCAAAUUUACUGACAACCUGAAAUGAAUGAAAAGGCCCUACUCGCAGCAAGAGAGCUUUUCUAGGAGUAUAUUGCAUAUUGGCUGUUUUCCAAGCUCCGUGAAAUCUUUUAGAAGCACGCUGUGACAUAUUUCAGUUGGUUUUAGUGAAUUGCAGUGUACAAGCUGGGUUUUUUUCCUGCAGCGUUCCCAUCAGACCGCGCGCAGGAAGCGUCUUUCUGUUAUUUCUCUGUGUGGGCACACACAGACCUGGAUCUUGGAGAAUUUGCAGCGGCUUCAGCUCUGUAACCUGCAGCGCAAGGGGAACAUCGGCCCGCACGGGGAGAGCGUCCGACCGCGUAGCUGUGCUCCGUUGGCGUGUCCAGCCUAACUUGAUGUGGCAGCCACUGAAAGCUUGCACUGAGGAACUGGCCCAGAGGAAGCGACUCCGCACUUGUGGCUCAUCAGCCCCGGCAGGAAACAGCAGGUCAAAGUUAGAAGGAACUUACUGAAAAGCUAAUGAGUGAGUGGUGCAGCAAACAUUGAGGGAAAGCACAGUUCCACAGCCAGCAGAGGAGCUUGGGGUUCUCUACCUUGGUCCUUAUUCCACUUGCUCUCUGUUGGUUCAUAUCUGUUCAACCAGAGAGAUGCCAAGGUGAUGAUCUAUCAGAUAAGGAUUUGUAGGUGAGACUGUGCCCUCUCCUGAUCUGCGCACAGCUCUCCCUGGAAAAUAGGGUCAGUACAGAGCACACACUAUUUAAUCUUACUCAGUAUGUUUUUAUGAAACAAAAUCCUCAUGACUUUAUAUCUCAGCUUAGCAGAUACUAGUUUUUUCAGAUGUGAGUAAGGUCGGUAGUCGCAAAUGUAGCAGCCUAGAACUGCAGGAUGGUUUUGACCAUUCUGUGCAAAAAUUGGUACAACUCAGUGGCAGAAGUAGCAAUAUAUGUUGUUCCUGCCAGGUGGCAGCAGGGUUUUUUUAUAGGUAAGCUUGGGGAAGCUCACCUUGGUGGACUUUCCAAAGGGCAUGAGGUCACAUCAUUAGGCAGACUUACAUUUUGAAGUGUAUUUGUCACUGUGCAAUACAUUGGGGUUUUUUUUUAUUCCUCCUUUAGUAUUGGAAUUGGAAAUUCAAGUUGGAGAAAUGUGAAAGCAAUUGGGCCUAAUCCAUUCUUGUCAUUGCUCCUUUUGUUUUCACUGGAGUUACUCCAAGGCUGAAUUCAGCAUAUGAUGAACAACUUGUUCUCCAAAGUUGGAACUUAGGGGAGAAGGUUCUAGGGAUGAUCACGCAACUCUGAGGCUCCUUCUCAAACAGCUGAAGCUCCCACAAGAGGGACAAUACAUCGAGGGGAGAUAUUUCUGUUAAGAACUAAGAUGAAACUCUUCACAGAUCUGCAAGAAUGAACCAGUCCUCACUGCUGGUUAAUCCCUCCUGUGCUCCUGUGUGCCGUUGGAGGGGUCAUGGCAGACACAAGAUCCCCAUGGUAAAAUUAAGCUUUUCUUUCUUGGAGAAAUAACCAUUACUGUCUCUCUGGCUCACUCCAUUUCAUUUACUUUCUAAACAACUUUGAUCACAAAGGGCUCGAGGAGGAAUGCAGCACUUGCAAAGAAAAGGCCUGGAUUAUUUUCUUCGUUUGAGAGUCUUGUGAAAGUUGUGCUUCCUGCUCUUGCCCGGAGUGCAGUCUUCGCUGUGUGUGAUUUGGAGGGUGGAGGAUCCACCAAGCCUGCCGUGCUUGGGAGGCCAGAGUAGGUUUCUGCUGAACAACGUGAGUCCUGUCCGACUAAUGGAAAAUCUCUCUGUCCCAAAGCCCAGCUGACACUGAGGCAGGAGAUCUUCUUGUAUCAGCUCUGCCGUGUUGGGGCAUAUCACCUCUGCAGCUCUGCUCAGCCAGUUUUCAGUGCCACAACCACGGUACGUCCUUGGUCUUGCUGAGGUUGAGCACUUCUCCGUUACCCUUUGGAUAUCGUUUUCUUCCUCAUCUACUUUGCUCCUGACGCAGGGACUGGAUGCUGGCUGCUCUCCUUACUGCUUCUCCUUCCAGACCCUCUCUGUUUGCAAUGAUCCAAGCUGCAGUUAGUACCACCGCAGCCGACUGCCCGGACUACCAAGAAUGGUACAGAACAUGCUAAGAAUAGCAACAGCAUUACAGGAAGGGGCAUUUAUAGUGUUUAUUACAGCUAACUGAAAGUAGAGGAAGCACUUCCCUAACACCUUAGCUGAUGCUCAGGGUGAAAUAUUUUCUUCAACAGUUACAUACUUAGUAAGUGGGAAGGAAGGAGGUUUCGCUUUUAAAACCAAAAUAAAGCAACUUCCAAUCUUACCUGCCUUAUUUCUCUCCACAACAGAAAAUGCACCCCUAAUAAGCUGGUCAGUGUAAUGGUCAAUGAAAUGCUGCUUUGCUUAGAUCUGAGGAGGUUUUAGGGAGAAGGCAGAAAAUUUGAUGUAUUCCACACAGUUACUGACCUCAAGGCUCAGUGGAACAAACACCAGAUAGCCAAGGAAAACAGAAAGAAUAGUUAAAAUCUCCCAAACCACAGCGCGGAGGGAUUAUCACACCAAACUUUGGUUAAAGUUCACAUAGCAAAGAGGAUCUCUCUUUCUAGGAACUACAGCUCCUACUGUUUGUCAGAUAUGUUGGUCCAACACAUAAUCACUUCCCCAACUGCAGUUGGUCACCAAGAGCGCUGUAAUUUGGACCAAGACUUUUGGAAGACUUCAACACCAAACCAAGCAUGUUAUUGCCUAGCUUAAGCACGGGGGAGGAGGGGGUGUAUUUCCCCUUCUGUGGCUGUGUUUCUGCAAGGUGCCCAAACACAAUAUAAAUGUCUGGAUUUAUACAACAUGGGCUUGACAGGGUUCAAAGGUGGGACCUGCUCAGCCUCCUGGUCCAAAAGCCUUGCCUCCCCCUGAGAGCCCAGCACCAGGUAAGACUGCAGGCUUGUGCCUCCAGCCCUGGUGCACUCUUAUUUUGUCUUCUAUUUGGGUUUUUGCUUCACUUCCCUUCAAGCAUUUGGCUCUAGGAUUUGGGGCAUCUCGUCUUUCACUUUGAAACUCUCUGUUCCUUCUAGCUAUUGAGCCACCUGGGAAUUACAGAUCCUAAGAGUUUGGAAACAAGAAGAUUAAAAAGAAAAAAAGCCAUCAAAAACUGUAUUGUCUUAAUUCCUGGAGGAGGCAGAUUGUAACUCAUGUUCUUGAAUACUGUGGUUAGGUGUUCAGCCCAGUUCUCCUGUAAGCUAAAAUUUUUUUUAUUUAUUUUGCCCUGUGAAGUAUUUGCCUAAGGACUUUCUUCUGUUCCCAGGUUAGUAGUAAUGCCUGUGGAGAAAGACUAACUGCUUCUUAAAAAAACUGCAUCAAAUGUGGGUGGAGGACACAGAUAAGCAGCCUGGCGUGGAGAGUUGGUGGGGGUGGUUUUGGAUGACUUAUUCCUCCUCAAGUGACACGAUCCCACACUGUACUUGUUCAAUUCAGGCACGAACUUUCCCAAAACAAGGAAGUUUGGGUUCUGGGUUCAGCUGUGAGAGCUGAAUAUUGCUUUCCAGAUGGGUGUUUGUGCCCUUCCUUGAACAAAACCACAGUUCAGUCCUGGCCAUCGAGGCACCAGAUUUCUUCCUUGAUGCUUUCCCUGAUCCCCAGGAAUGCUCCCUGUCCCAGAGGGGCUGUGACCGGCUGCUCUGGGGGCUGUUUGUCCGACCUGUCUGCAGAGGCUGCUGGAAAAGAAAGCGUCGAGAGGUGCACCUCUGGGCCAGGCCCUGGCAAGUGCUGUGGAUUUUUUUUUUUUUUUUCCUUCCCCCCUUGAACUUUGCUGAAAUGCACAGCCAUACUUCAGGACCUUCAAGGGCUGCUUCUCUAAUCUCCCCAGAAGGAUUACUGCUGCUGGAAAUCAUGAGGGCUUGGACUAGCUAUCAACUUUAUCAGGAAAGCUUCUUUCCGGCCAAGCUAGUAAGAGCUUUGCUAGGCGGGAAUCUUGGGUUGAAGCUGCUCUUCUCAUAUUUCACAGAUGGCCUCAAUGAAUGAUUUACUAGGAGAGUAAAAGAUUAGCCAGAUUCCUCCAACUGCAUCUCGAGUCAUAUAAAGCACUGGAUUUUAUUGGGGCCUAGGCAAUACCUAAUUCUUUAGCCUUGUUAGACUGUUUUACAGUGACUAAUUGCCCUGUGUUCCCCUCCCUGAGAAUCAGGUGUCUCCUGGUGAGGAACGCAGUCUCCUCGCCUGAGCCUCACCCGCAGCUUUGGAACAGCCAUGCCAGUGAAGGCUUCUCCAUAUGGUCAGGUACCCAAAGGCCACAAGACGUUAUGUCUCUAGUUGUCUUUUAUUGGAGAGGUUAGUAUGCUUCUGGGAGGGAGAUGGUAAAGGGAAUACUUAAAAUAUGCAAUGAGGUGUUUCCAUAAAAUUAUCAAAAGCUUUGCAGAAUCUUCCUAUGGAGAAGAGCCAUCGCUGGAGAGUUCACAUCUACAGGGGUUUGGGUAGGGCAAAAUCUCUUGCUUUAAUGUUUUAGCUAGACUCCAGGGCUCAGAUGAGCUCUUCUGGGGGAAGGGAGGUUACCCCAUGUUUGCCUGUUAUGGAGUUUCUCACGUUUUUCUCCUUUACACUUGGCAGCCAGAACUCUGUGUCUCACUCUCUAUGGCAAUUCCUACAGAGUUUGGCUGUUUUAAAGGACUGCGGUACUGAUUUAGAUGUCCAAAUUGGAAAAGCAGGGUUUAAAGUGGACCCACUUUUUCCUUUAGAGUAAGACUUGUUAAAGAUCUUUUGUUAAAUUAUUUACCAGUGGUUUCACAAGAUCAACAGAUCUUUGCAUUUAACCAUUUGCAUUCAUUUGCAUGACUUCCAUCAUGAUUUUCUCCCCUGUCCUCUAAAUCAAAAACAACCCUAAGAUCACUAAAGGGCUUGCAGGGAUGGGUUGCCCAUCGCUAUAGAUAUAUGAAGUGCACACACCAUAAAGUGUAAAGCAAUAUCGGCAUGUGCUGAUCUCAUGUAAACAGUCUUUGGUUUAUAGCAGUCAGAGAUGAGAGCUCUGAGACUCGCUGGGGGAAUCAACCCCUAGCAGAAAUGUUUAAAAUAUUUGGGUUUUAGCCAAGAGGCUAAGAAAAGAGGUUUUUCUAUCUUCCUUUUUCUCUGCUGUGAUCGCCUCACAUACAACACUAAAAGCUACGUAAGAAACAGGGAUGAGAAGAAACAGUUCUGACAGUCUCGUCCCUAAGGCAUCAAAAGAUGUCGAAGAUGCUCAGGCUGCCCCAGAAGUACAGAGAUAAUAAAACUUGCUACUUUUCCAAUUUCUGCAUCAUCAUUUAUACGUAUGAAUUGGAGCUGAACCUACUCCCCAGCGGUCUGUUUUGGUUGAACCUAUGGCAGAAAGGAGACAGAAGCAGCCCCUGGAGUCCCCUUGAUAAAAGCUCCCCCACCACAGUUCUUCAAGGCUAAAAUUUUGCCACAAGCUAUAGCAGGGUGAGGGAAGUUAUAAAAAGUACAGGAAUGCAAAAUUCUGUCCUCUUCUCAGUGAAGGUAGAAAUAAAAUGUGUGCGCAUGUUUCCGGGAUAGAACAUAAUCUGCCAUCGGUUGUGUCUAGCAUAAAGGAACUGUGCAUUGGCAUCUGUUGUAUGUACAAUUUUUCAAGCAUAUCAGUUAGCAGAACAGAUCCUGCAUCAUUUAUUUUGAGAUGACUCUGUCCUCCCCACAAUGCAACUGACCUGUAGGAAUAGAAUAUUACGACUAAACAUCACUUUAAAAGCAAAUGUGAUCCUUUCAUGUUUAAAAAAAAAAAAAAAAGGUAGUAUUUGUCAAGCCUGUGUUUAUGAGGGCAACACCAUAUCUCGGAGGAUUACUCACCAUGGCAAUUUUUGAGGAUAUUAAGUCACUCACCCAGAUUUUAUCCAUAGACUGCCGGACCAGGGGGAUCCCUGGUGUUGCCUGAGUGUAAUCUCCCAUCAGUGACCAUCGAAGGUCUCGGAACCCUGAAAGACCUCAUCAGAGACUGUGCCUCCACUUCUCAUUGCUAAGCAGAUGAGGCCGUUGAUAAGGGUUUGAAAAGGCACAGUCAAAAGACGGAGGAAUUAACAGGAAGAAUUCAGAGUCAUGAGAAGAGACAUAAAAGUGAAUUUCCUUGAUUUUUUAAUAUCACUCUCAUUAUUUUUAGAUGUAUGAUCUUUUUGCCAGGUGCACCGAAUGGACGCCUGGGACCCUGACGUCUAACUCUGAACAGGCAUCAGGCCAUGAUUCCAGCCUUUUGCUGAGCAUCCCACCAUGUUUGAGUGUUUGGAAGUCUGUGCUGGCAAUGGUGGGACAGCUGUGCAAUAUACUGCCAUAAAACGUUCCUCUAGCAAUGUUGUCUCGCUUUUUAUUCUAUUCUUCCUGGAAACUGUUAUUGUCAAUGCAACAGCAGAUCUGCUCCUAUAGAAAGGGCUGUUCUCUGCGUGCCUGCCCUCAUCCACGCACAGUGACUGAAGAUACCCCUUUCCAAAACCAAACAGGAAUUGAAAAAAGUAAUGAGGAUCCUGUCUGAGAGUGGCCCGGAGCACAGCAGCCCUGGCUUGCUCACCAGCAUGAGGACGAUUGCUCAGCGGCAGAGACAGGCAAGGGUUCGAAAGGAAACAGCUGUGACCCCUUUUUGGAGCAUUUGCUCUUAUUUAUCCCCUUAGAUGUAUCCCAAUAAUGGAAAUCUGGCUGGUUGUUAAUUUGAAAGCAUUUGUAGUGGUGAUGGCAUAAUAGAUAUGGAAGUUCACAGGACUCUGGCAACUACUAAUGUAUUGAGGCUUUCAGAUGAAAAAACGAAAGCUGCCUGUAAAGGAUUCCCAUUUGUCAUGAAAACCUCACAAUACCAUGGGACAGCUGUUUGCCUGGGAUCUGUAUCUCAGAUGUAAGGAACCAGAACAGACAUGUGCUCUGUUGUACAAAGACCAUAACCCCAGAGACAGUGCUCUAGUACCUUCCUCUGGAGAUGGAUUUGGCGCUGCUGCAAGCAUGGCUGGAUAGCUGGCAGGAUCUGUUUUGGGAGGCAGCUCUCCUGUUGUCGUACAAGAGCACAAAGGUGAAGUAGGUGUCAAAAGUUUCCUGGGAGAUGUUGGGUCCAGGGUCUUUACUCCCCUCAAGCCACUCUGUGCUUUGCCUCGUUCCCCAUAUCAAAUAAUUUGGUGAGUUUUCAUUUGAAAAUCAGAACGAAAAAAAAGUCCAGGGCUGAAGCUUCACCAAGCAGCUGGAAAUUAGGAAAAGCCAAGCUGUGAUGCAAAGGUAACACAAAUUUCAUGCAAAGGGCGAGCUCCUGGAAAAUCUCCCCCUGGUUGUCUUGAUGUGCUUUUAUUUUUCACAUGGUAUCUUUGCCAUGGCUUCAAACACAGCAUUGGGCUUAUGUGCGACCAGGUUGCUUGGGAGGCCGUCACGCAAAGGUCUUUUAACAAAACAGAGGUGCUGCCAUGAAGUUCAGGGAGGAGGAAUAAUCCCCCCUGAGCUCCCUGUGAGCCUCCUUGUUGGUGUAUUUUUAGCAAUGACUCUCUUUAGUUCAUUCUGUGUCAGGAAAUUCUGCAAUGAACUUCCCGCUGUGCCACGCUGUGCCGGUACGUCACAAGGGCAAAGCACGUCUGCGUGGAAGAGUUUACCUAAUACAAAUUUCCCUGACUUUGGCAGUUCCAAAGAUUUCCUCCCAUCCUUCCUUCUUCUCUCCACUUUUUGGUUAUUGCUUCAAAUUAAUAAGAGAGCAAACCUUGUAAAUAAGGGAUGACAAAAAUAUGCAAAUAAAAUGGCGAGAUUAACCCAACUGUGGGCUCAGUGUAUGCAGGCACAGGAAAGUGAAAGAAUAUUGAACGAAGCUUUCAAAACUUUGUUUCCGUGCCAGAGCUUAAUCUCCAGACACUAAUUUAGCUGUACUAGUAAUGCAUUUAAGUGUGUUCCUCUGUUAAGCAAUAUAUUCCCUACAGAGCAGCUCUGGAGCAGCUGUUAGCUACAGGCUUUCCACAGGCUGAGGUCUCUGGAUCAGAAACACUCUAUCUUCCACCAGCACAUCCCCCUGAACUGCUCCACACAUCAGUGAUCUCUCUUCAGGCAAGGUGGUGCAAGGUCUUCCUUUUCCUUUUUUUUUCAGGCAUGAAUUCAUCUAAGUGCACCCCACGGCUUGCAGAGGGCCCAUGGCAGGCUGAGACACCAGGGCUGAACGAGGACAAUCUCGACUUUGUUGCUGCUAAAGACAGAGAUUAUUUUUAAUGUAAAAGUUAUUGUCUCGGGCAGCCUUCAUCUCACCAGUGCACAAUUUCAGAAUGCUUUAAAUUAAGUCUGGAGGCUAAAAGUGUGUUAGUCAUUGCCCAUACAUCUUAGGGGAAGCAGGGCUCUCUAAAGUUAUUGUUAGCAUUAGGCAUCUGGUUUAUGUUUAUAAUGAUUUAUUCAAUGAUGGAAGACAGGUAAGGAACCAUCAUGGAAGACAAACUAGAAAAGAUUAGGGUUUUCAAAGCUCUGAAGCCAUUGUUAAAUCAAAGUUGUCUGACUUCAAAAGGAAUAUAUAACUUGAUUAGAUUCUUUAAACAAUGUACAAUGCUCACAAAGUUGGCAGAUACUAUUAGAGGCAGAGUUGGUAGCACAGCCUGCUCUGGAGGGUGCUUGUCCCUUCUAAGUGCAAGAUCCUGUUCUUAUGUCAUGACUCUGGCUUUUUCUCUUUUUGGGAAAAUUUCAGCCAAGUACUUCAACUGCCUGUGAGAGCCAGGGCAGAGAAGAAUACAUUGUUUUUUCCGUGUUAGAAUAAUUCAGGAAAUCCUUUCUUUGGAGAGAUCUAAUGCUUCCAUACUUUGAAACAGGGACUUGAAAUCCAGUGGGGGAAGAUAGGCUUUGUGCUAAAGACGGGCGUGUUGCCAUUGCCAUAAGGAUCUGACCACGGUUAUUUCAGUUUUAUGAGCCUCUGAAAAAGACUAGUUUAUGUAUGUGCAGUAGGGCUUUGCAAGAGCUUAGCUAAGAUUAGAGAAGAGUCUCUGCUCGUGUCUCCCGGUGCCUGGCCCUCACCGGCCUGUGCGAGUGGUGAAAUUGGUCUUUCCUGGUAAGGACUAGCUCUCGCUAAGAGCAGCGCUUUGGGAGGGAGAAGAGAAAGCCCAUCCACGGUGGCUCCCGGUACGCUGGAGCAGAGAUGGGGACUGUGCCUGGAAGCAGGAGCUGGUGGGACAGGGCAGGCUGGGAAGGGUAGGCUGGGGGGUGAUGGAUCUGUGCCCGUUUGAUUGCCUCUCCGCAUCCUGACGGGGUAUUGCCUUCCUCUCCUGCCAGAAAACGUCGGUGACACUCACAAGCAACAAUCCCCAUUUCUUCCAGGCGCGGAUGCAGGCGGAGGGUAACGCACCACCGCUGCAGCCAUCCCAGGUCGUGGAGGGAGUACCCACGCCAAGGGGGAGGGGGGCAGCCCCAGGCACGCAGCGGGACAUAGGCAAAAGCUGGAUCUGGAGAUCCUCAAUUCUUCCUCCAGCUGAACACGUUUGUUCAUCCCACCCACUCUUUCGGAUAAAAGACGCUGUCCUGUGUUGCAGCUGACGCGCUCAGCAGGUUCAAUUCUCCACGGUGGCAAUCCCAAGCUGUUGGGCAGGGGCUUCUCAUUUUUUUCUCCUGUAGCGUAGAGCAGAUAAAUAAUUGUUAUUGCUCUGCUCUCUGCCUUGUUUCAGAGCAGCCUGCCUUCCCGCUGCAGA